rnacentral:rRNA from 1 species
CGUAGGGUGCAGGCGUUAAUCGGAAUUACUGGGCGUAAAGCGUGCGCAGGCGGUCUCUUAAGACAGGUGUGAAAUCCCCGGGCUUAACCUGGGAACUGCGCUUGUAACUGAGAGGCUAGAGUGUGGCAGAGGGGGUGGAAUUCCACGUGUAGCAGUGAAAUGCGUAGAGAUGUGGAGGAACACCGAUGGCGAAGGCAGCCCCCUGGGCUAACACUGACGCUCAUGCACGAAAGCGUGGGGAGCAAACAGGAUUAGAAUACCCUGGUAGUCCACGCCCUAAACUAUGUCAACUGGUUGUCGGGGAAGCAAUUCCUUGGUAACGAAGCUAACGCGUGAAGUUGACCGACCUGGGGGAUACGGGCCGCAAGGUUA